AUGGCGCCCCCUGCUUGUGUGCUCUCCUCACUGCUGCUGCUGGUGACCAUUGCAGGUUGUGCCUGUAAGCAGUGCAGCGAGGGGAGGACGCAUUCCAACGCAGUCAUUUUACCUAACUUGGAAACGACCAGAAUCAUGCGGGUGCCUCACACCUUCUCCAUGGCCGACUGCACCGCCGCCUGCUGUGACCUGGCCAGCUGUGACCUGGCCUGGUGGUUUGAGGGCCGCUGCUACCUGGUGAGCUGCCCACACAAAGAGAACUGUGAGCCCAAGAAGAUGGGCCCCAUCAGGUCUUCCCUCACGUUUGUGCUCAGGCCUGUCCAGAGGCCUGCACAGCUGCUGGACUAUGGGGAGAUGAUGCUGAACAGGGGCUCCCCCUCAGGGGCCUGGGGCGACCCACCCGAGGAUAUCAGAAAGGACCUGCCCUUUCUAGGCAGAGACCGGGGCCUAGAGGAGACAUCUGAGUACUCGGAUGACUACAGGGAGCCGGAGCAGGACCUCUUCCGUCCCAGGAGCAAGCAGGAGCCCAGAGGGAGCGCUGAGUACACCGACUGGGGCCUGCUGCCUGGCAGCGAGGGAGGCUUCAACUCCUCGGCUGCAGACGCGCCAGCGGAUCCGCAGCAGGGCCCGGAACUCCGUAAAAUGAACCAGUCGGCUUGGACGCCUGCCCCAGAACGCUCUCCUGAGAGAAGCUUGUUGCUUCCCUUGGUGACUACUCCAUCUUCAGGAGAGGUACUGGGGAAAGAAGAGGCUUUUGAGCUCCAGGAACAAUCCAGCAACACCUCUGGAAAAGAGGUUCUAAUGCCUUCCCAUAAUCCUCCUCCAGCCAGCCUGGAGUUCAGCCCAGCCACCGUGGAGGAAAGCCAAGUGCUCACAGUCAGCCCGGGGAGCACAGAGCACAGCAUCCCAACGCUUCCCGCUAGCACUGUCCCCUCUGGGUCCACCCUAUCUGAGCGACCCAUAUCUCUUACUACUGCUUCCAGGACAGGUAACUUUUAAAAAAUACAAUUGGGAGAAAUGUGCUGAAGACAGGCUGUGGAUUUGGUAGUGACAACUUUUAAAGUUUACUCAUUCCCUCCAGGCACAUUUUUGAGCAUCUAUCAUGUGCCAGAAACAGUGCUGCUUACUGGAAAUAAAAAGAUGAUUAAGACAUUGUCUUUCCCUCAGGGACUCGGUAGUCCAGGAGAGGAGACUGACAGGUAAAGAGAUGGUUCUGAUGCAAUAUGGUAAGUGCUGUGAGAGGCUGCUAUGGGAGCGGAGAGGGGCACCCUGAGUCACGGGGAGAGGCCAGGGAAGCCUUUCCAGGGGAAAUGGUGCUAGGGGAGAGUGAGCUGGCAAAACUGAGGUUGGCCUGUCAUUCAGGUCGAGGGAGCAAUAUGUGUAGUGACAGUAGCGAUAAUCGUAUUUACUGAGCACUUCUGGAGCGCCAGGCACCAUGCUCGGUGCUUCCGUCUGUCAUCUCAUUCAUUACUGUGCAAGAGAAGAGAAGUACAAGAGCUUAUUGAAAUUGUGGAAGAACUGUAAGAAGUUCAUUGUGGCUGGAACUAGAGUGGGAAACAGGGCAAGAAUUUGAAACGUCAUGUAUUUUUUGCUAAGGAAUCUGUGCUUUAUUGGAUGGAUAUAGAGAAUCAGUCACUGAAUGGUUUUAAGUAGGAAAGCAAAACGAGCAGAUUUGUAUUAAGAAAAUAGUUUGGACUUGAUUGGAGGCAAGAAGACCCAUUAGAAGGCUAUAGCGAGUGGUUGCAGGGAUGGAGAGAAGGAAGUAGAUUCAAGAUAUAAUAAAGGAUCAGAAUCAUUGGGAUUUGGUGAGUGAUUGAAUGUCAGGAUGAAGGAAAAGGACUCUGAGAUAUAUGAACAUAUAGAACUGAAAUUAGACGAGUGGUUGGGUAGAAGAUAAAGGAUUGGGAGUCAUAGGUAUAGAGGUGAUAAUUGAAGACAUGGGGGCAAUAUGAGAUUAUCCAGGCAGAGGAAUACUUUGGGGAUGUCAUCAUAUAAGGAGCUGGAAGAGCAGAGGGAGCCUGCAGAGCUGACUGGGUGAUUAUGCCAAAGGGGUAGGAGAUAAAGAGGAAAGCAUGGAAUGAGGGAAGAAAGGGAGGAGAGAAUUCUGUAGAAGAGAAAAAAACAAUUUUCCCUCUACCCUUCUAAGUUAUCUGGAGCCCCUGUAACAAAAAACAAACGGGCGUUUAUUAACAUGUAUGUUUCAUAUAUACAUGGGAGCUAUCCAGGGAGAUAGUUAAAUCUCAAAGAGAUAGGCUAGAGCACCAGUUUAUAUAGCAUUUUCAACUGAAACAAAGAAAGGUGUGGGGAAGGCAAGUGUUGGAAGGUGCCCAGAACAAGCAAGGUAAGCAAGAGGAAGGCUUGUUAUGCAGA
ensembl:lincRNA